GACGAACGCUGGCGGCGUGCUUAACACAUGCAAGUCGAACGGAAAGGCCCUGCUUGCCGGGUACUCGAGUGGCGAACGGGUGAGUAACACGUGGGUGAUCUGCCCUGCACUUCGGGAUAAGGCUGGGAAACUGGGUCUAAUACCGGAUAGGAGCCAUUUUUAGUGUGAUGGUUGGAAAGUUUUUUCGGUGUAGGAUGAGCUCGCGGCCUAUCAGCUUGUUGGUGGGGUAAUGGCCUACCAAGGCGGCGACGGGUAGCCGGCCUGAGAGGGUGGACGGCCACAUUGGGACUGAGAUACGGCCCAGACUCCUACGGGAGGCAGCAGUGGGGAAUAUUGCACAAUGGGCGCAAGCCUGAUGCAGCGACGCCGCGUGGGGGAUGACGGCCUUCGGGUUGUAAACUCCUUUCGCUAGGGACGAAGCUUUUUGUGACGGUACCUAGAUAAGAAGCACCGGCUAACUACGUG
rnacentral:rRNA from 1 species